CGCGUGAAGGAUGAAGGCCCUCUGGGUUGUAAACUUCUUUUAUCUGGGACGAAAAAAGGGUAUUCUUACUCACUUGACGGUACCAGAGGAAUAAGCACCGGCUAACUCCGUGCCAGCAGCCGCGGUAAUACGGAGGGUGCAAGCGUUAUCCGGAUUCACUGGGUUUAAAGGGAGCGUAGGUGGGCUGAUAAGUCAGUGGUGAAAUCUCCGGGCUUAACCCGGAAACUGCCAUUGAUACUAUCAGUCUUGAAUUAUCUGGAGGUAAGCGGAAUAUGUCAUGUAGCGGUGAAAUGCUUAGAUAUGACAUACAACACCAAUUGCGAAGGCAGCUUGCUACGGAUUGAUUGACACUGAGGCUCGAAAGCAUGGGGAUCAAACAGGAUUAGAUACCCUGGUAGGCCACGCCCUACACGAUGGAUACUCGACAUCAUCGAUACACUGUUGGUGUCUGAGCGAAAGCAUUAAGUAUCCCACCUGGGAAGUACGACCGCAAGGUUGAAACUCAAAGGAAUUGACAGGGGUCCGCACAACCGGUGGAGCAUGUGGUUUAAUUCUAUGAUACACGAGGAACCUUACCUGGGCUAGAAUGCAUUUUGACCGUGGGUGAAAGCUCACUUUAUA
rnacentral:rRNA from 1 species